AUGAACGCUGGCGGCGUGCCUAAUACCUGCCAGUCGAGCGAACAGACGAGGAGCUUGCUCCUCUGACGUUAGCGGCGGACGGGUGAGUAACACGUGGAUAACCUACCUAUAAGACUGGGAUAACUUCGGGAAACCGGAGCUAAUACCGGAUAAUAUAUUGAACCGCAUGGUUCAAUAGUGAAAGACGGUUUUGCUGUCACUUAUAGAUGGAUCCGCGCCGCAUUAGCUAGUUGGUAAGGUAACGGCUUACCAAGGCAACGAUGCGUAGCCGACCUGAGAGGGUGGUCGGCCACACUGGAACUGAGACACGGUCCAGACUCCUACGGGAGGCAGCAGUAGGGAAUCUUCCGCAAUGGGCGAAAGCCUGACGGAGCAACGCCGCGUGAGUGAUGAAGGUCUUCGGAUCGUAAAACUCUGUUAUUAGGGAAGAACAAAUGUGUAAGUAACUAUGCACGUCUUGACGGUACCUAAUCAGAAAGCCACGGCUAACUACGUG
rnacentral:rRNA from 1 species